AUUGAACGCUGGCGGCAGGCCUAACACAUGCAAGUCGAACGAGUGGCGGACGGGUGAGUAAUGUCUGGGAAACUGCCCGAUGGAGGGGGAUAACUACUGGAAACGGUAGCUAAUACCGCAUACCAUCGGAUGUGCCCAGAUGGGAUGAGCUAGUCGGUGGGGUAACGGCUCACCUAGGCGACGAGCCCUAGCUGGGCUGAGAGGAUGACCGGCCACACUGGAACUGAGACACGGCCCAGAUUCCUACGGGAGGCAGCAGUGGGGAAUAUUGCACAAUGGGCGAAAGCCUGAUGCAGCAAUGCCGCGUGUGUGAAGAAGGCCUUCGGGUUGUAAAGUACUGUCGGUGAGGAGGCGUUACUUACAAAAGAAGCACCGGCUAACUACGUGCCAGCAGCCGCGGUAAUUC
rnacentral:rRNA from 1 species